AUUGAACGCUGGCGGCAUGCCUUACACAUGCCAGUCGAACGGCAGCAUGAUCUAGCUUGCUAGAUUGAUGGCGAGUGGCGAACGGGUGAGUAAUACAUCGGAACGUGCCCUGUAGUGGGGGAUAACUAGUCGAAAGAUUAGCUAAUACCGCAUACGACCUGAGGGUGAAAGUGGGGGACCGCAAGGCCUCAUGCUAUAGGAGCGGCCGAUGUCUGAUUAGCUAGUUGGUGAGGUAAAGGCUCACCAAGGCGACGAUCAGUAGCUGGUCUGAGAGGACGAUCAGCCACACUGGGACUGAGACACGGCCCAGACUCCUACGGGAGGCAGCAGUGGGGAAUUUUGGACAAUGGGCGAAAGCCUGAUCCAGCAAUGCCGCGUGUGUGAAGAAGGCCUUUGGGUUGUAAAGCACUUUUGUCCGGAAAGAAAUGGCUCUGGUUAAUACCUGGGGUCGAUGACGGUACCGGAAGAAUAAGGACCGGCUAACUACGUG
rnacentral:rRNA from 1 species